rnacentral:rRNA from 1 species
AGUGGAUUGGAAGCGGCGUAAGCGGUGAGUGUGAAAAAAUAGUGCCAAGAAAAGUCUUGUUGAUGAUGAAGACUAGAUACUCGUACCCGAAACCGACACAGGUAGGCAAGUUGAGAAUACGAAGGGGCGCGAGAUAACUCUCUCUAAGGAACUCGGCAAAAUGACCCCGUAACUUUGGGAGAAGGGGUGCCACCGAGAUGUGGUUGCAGUGAAGAGGCCCAGGCGACUGUUUAGCAAAAACAUAGGUCUCCGCAAACUCGAAAGAGGAGGUAUAGGGGCUGACGCCUGCCCAGUGCCGGAAGGUUAAGGAAGUUGGUCAGGAGAAAUCUGAAGCUAGCCACCGAAGCCCCGGUGAACGGCGGCCGUAACUAUAACGGUCCUAAGGUAGCGAAAUUCCUUGUCGGGUAAGUUCCGACCCGCACGAAAGGCGUAACGAUCUGGGCGCUGUCUCGGAGAGAGGCUCGGCGAAAUAGGAUUGUCUGUGAAGAUACGGACUACCUGCACUUGGACAGAAAGACCCUAUGAAGCUUUACUGUAGCUUGGAAUUGUGUUCGGGCUUCACUUGCGCAGGAUAGGUGGGAGGCGAAGAAGUUAACCUUGUGGGGUUAAUGGAGCCAACGGUGAGAUACCACUCUGGUGAGGCUAGAAUUAGUGUAAAGGCAGAAGGGAGCUUGACUGCGAGACUAACAAGUCGAGCAGGGUGGAAACACGGCCUUAGUGAUCCGACGGCACUGUGUGGAAGGGCCGUCGCUCAACGGAUAAAAGUUACUCUAGGAUAACAGGCUGAUCUCCCCCAAGAGUUCACAUCGACGGGGAGGUUUGGCACCUCGAUGUCGGCUCAUCGCAACCUGGGGCGGAAGUACGUCCCAAGGGUUGGGCUGUUCGCCCAUUAAAGCGGUACGUGAGCUGGGUUCAGAACGUCGUGAGACAGUUCGGUCCAUAUCCGGUGCAGGCGUAAGAGUAUUGAGAGGAGUCUUCCUUAGUACGAGAGGACCGGGAAGGACGCACCGCUAGUGUACCUGUUAUCGUGCCAACGGUAAACGCAGGGUAGCUAAGUGCGGAGAGGAUAACCGCUGAAAGCAUCUAAGUGGGAAGCCCACCUCAAGAUGAGUACUCUCACCAUAUUGGUUAAGGUCACGGGAAGAACACCCGUUGAUAGGCAUCAGGUGGAAGUGCAGUAAUGUAUGAAGCCGAAGUGUACUAACAGACCGAGGGCCUGAC